UCCUCGUUAGUAUAGUGGUGAGUAUCCCCGCCUGUCACGCGGGAGACCGGGGUUCGAUUCCACGACGGGGAG
rnacentral:tRNA from 1 species